AUUGAACGCUGGCGGCAUGCUUUACACAUGCAAGUCGAACGGUAACAGGCCUUCGGGUGCUGACGAGUGGCGAACGGGUGAGUAAUGCAUCGGAACGUGCCCAAUCGUGGGGGAUAACGUAGCGAAAGUUACGCUAAUACCGCAUAAGCCCUGAGGGGGAAAGUGGGGGACCGCAAGGCCUCACGCGAAUGGAGCGGCCGAUGUCAGAUUAGCUAGUUGGUGGGGUAAAGGCCCACCAAGGCGACGAUCUGUAGCGGGUCUGAGAGGAUGAUCCGCCACACUGGGACUGAGACACGGCCCAGACUCCUACGGGAGGCAGCAGUGGGGAAUUUUGGACAAUGGGCGCAAGCCUGAUCCAGCCAUGCCGCGUGCGGGACGAAGGCCUCGG
rnacentral:rRNA from 1 species